rnacentral:lncRNA from 1 species
CCCACUCAAAAAUAAAUGUGUUCUUCUUUCAAGCUUUGUGCUAUUCUCCUACCCAAUUUUCACCACUCUUUCUGUUUUUACUUCUUAGCUUUACCCAUCCUGAAACUCUCUCUAGAGAGUCUCAUGUGAUAUGAAAGCGGGAAACACAAAGUGUGGAGGUCACCCAGAUGGACAGCAGGAUCAUAAUGUGGACAAGGCACCCGAGAAUGUCCAUCUCAUAAACUGCUGAGGACAAGAAAGAAGAAAGGAAUUCAAUCACAGGCAGGAAAUGGCAAACCACCCACAAGGGACUGAUGCCAUCUAUGGGGACAGGGACAACUUGAAAUUGAUCAGGAGAAAUUUAUUGAAAGAUGGCCUCCUGCAACUGCUCAAAAUGCAACAUGCUGCCCAGGUCCUGCUCAGACCACUGAUAACUCAGAAGUUAACACUCAAGAGAGGAAAGGUGAGUCAAGGCUGUUUGAUGACUACCCCAUGAAAAGAAUCGGAAUCACAUUCCUCUUGAUUCCUGUUUCUUUCUUAACAACAUUAAGUGUAAUGUUAGCCAAGCUAAUACAUAAUGUUUUGCUGUAUAAAAUGGUUUUUUUUUUUGUAGCCAGAUGUGAUUUUUUUUUUCUGCAAGCUGGGUUACUUUCAGUAUAGCAAAGUGUAGUACAUGAGCAAAGACUUUCAAGUCAAACAGAAUUAAUAAUUCAUCUCUGUCACAGAGCUCACGGUCUGCUGGACAACUGUGCUGACUGGAAAGGAAGGAAGCAUCUGAUGGCUAGGUCACUUGUCCAACAUCAGGCAGAGGCAGAUCUGGAAUUCAAACAGCCAGACUCCAAUGUGUUUCCUUUAACCACUUUUCUCACUUUUCAACUUGAUUCCACACAUCACUGCCGGGAAAACUUAGGUAAGUCAUUUGGGCUUUGGUUUUUUCAUCUUUACAGUGGAUAGACUGAGACCUUCUUCCCUAAUGCCUCUGAAGAUGACAUAAAAAAUACCCACAAAAUCCCUAGUCCAUUUACCUGCUCACACAGAUUUACUGAGUGGGAGUCUAAUUUCCAUCCCAUCACCACCUUCUCUCUAGCUGUCCAGACACCAUGCUUGCCUGGCCAAUGCCAUCAAAGAAUGGAACCAUCUUUUGAUCCACCCUCAGUGGCCAGAAAAAAGAGAGAGUUGUUCUGGCACAUUACUGUUUGAUUUUAUUUUACCUCAGGGAGUAAAAAUAAUGACUAUCAAUUAUAGCGACA